rnacentral:misc_RNA from 1 species
CCGAGUUCAUGCCCUUACGGGUAGAUCUCCCACCCUAUGUUAUUAUUACCUUUGUUGCUUUGGCGGGCCGCUAGGCUUCGGCUAGGCUACCGGCUGCGGCUGGUAAGCGCCCGCCAGAGGAUUCUAAACCCUGAAUAUUAGUGUCGUCUGAGUACUAUAUAAUAGUUA